rnacentral:misc_RNA from 1 species
AUGAAGAACGCAGCGAAAUGCGAUAAGUAAUGUGAAUUGCAGAAUUCAGUGAAUCAUCGAAUCUUUGAACGCACAUUGCGCCCGCCAGUAUUCUGGCGGGCAUGCCUGUUCGAGCGUCAUUACAACCCUCAGGCCCCCGGGCCUGGCGUUGGGGAUCGGCGGAGCGCCCCCUGCGGGCACACGCCGUCCCCCAAAUACAGUGGCGGUCCCGCCGCAGCUUCCAUUGCGUAGUAGCUAACACCUCGCAACUGGAGAGCGGCGCGGCCACGCCGUAAAACACCCAACUUCUGAAUGUUGACCUCGAAUCAGGUAGGAAUACCCGCUGAACUUAAGCAUAUCAAUAAGCGGAGGA